GACGAACGCUGGCGGCGUGCUUAACACAUACAAGUCGAACGGAAAGGCCCUGCUUGCAGGGUACUCGAGUGGCGAACGGGUGAGUAACACGUGGGUGAUCUGCCCUGCACUUCGGGAUAAGCCUGGGAAACUGGGUCUAAUACCGGAUAGGAGCCAUUUUUAGUGUGAUGGUUGGAAAGUUUUUUCGGUGUAGGAUGAACCCGCGGCCUAUCAGCUUGUUGGUGGGGUAAUGGCCUACCAAGGCGGCGACGGGUAGCCGGCCUGAGAGGGUGGACGGCCACAUUGGGACUGAGAUACGGCCCAGACUCCUACGGGAGGCAGCAGUGGGGAAUAUUGCACAAUGGGCGCAAGCCUGAUGCAGCGACGCCGCGUGGGGGAUGACGGCCUUCGGGUUGUAGACUCCUUUCGCUAGGGACGAAGCUUUUGUGACGGUACCUAGAUAAGAAGCACCGGCUAACUACGUG
rnacentral:rRNA from 1 species